GCCCCCGUAGCUCAGUGGAUAGAGCACCGGCCUCCGGAGCCGGGUGCGCAGGUUCGAGUCCUGCCGGGGGUA
rnacentral:tRNA from 3 species